rnacentral:rRNA from 1 species
GAAAGUGACGGUACCUGCAGAAGAAGCGCCGGCUAACUACGUGCCAGCAGCCGCGGUAAUACGUAGGGCGCAAGCGUUAUCCGGAAUUAUUGGGCGUAAAGAGCUCGUAGGCGGUUUGUCGCGUCUGCUGUGAAAGACCGGGGCUCAACUCCGGUUCUGCAGUGGGUACGGGCAGACUAGAGUGAUGUAGGGGAGACUGGAAUUCCUGGUGUAGCGGUGAAAUGCGCAGAUAUCAGGAGGAACACCGAUGGCGAAGGCAGGUCUCUGGGCAUUAACUGACGCUGAGGAGCGAAAGCAUGGGGAGCGAACAGGAUUAGAUACCCUGGUAGUCCAUGCCGUAAACGUUGGGCACUAGGUGUGGGGGACAUUCCACGUUUUCCGCGCCGUAGCUAACGCAUUAAGUGCCCCGCCUGGGGAGUACGGCCGCAAGGCUAAAACUCAAAGGAAUUGACGGGGGCCCGCACAAGCGGCGGAGCAUGCGGAUUAAUUCGAUGCAACGCGAAGAACCUUACCAAGGCUUGACAUGGGCCAGACCGCCGCAGAAAUGUGGUUUCCCCUUUGGGGCUGGUUCACAGGUGGUGCAUGGUUGUCGUCAGCUCGUGUCGUGAGAUGUUGGGUUAAGUCCCGCAACGAGCGCAACCCUCGUUCUAUGUUGCCAGCACGUGAUGGUGGGGACUCAUAGGAGACUGCCGGGGUCAACUCGGAGGAAGGUGGGGACGACGUCAAAUCAUCAUGCCCCUUAUGUCUUGGGCUUCACGCAUGCUACAAUGGCCGGUACAAAGGGUUGCGAUACUGUGAGGUGGAGCUAAUCCCAAAAAGCCGGUCUCAGUUCGGAUUGGGGUCUGCAACUCGACCCCAUGAAGUCGGAGUCGC